rnacentral:lncRNA from 1 species
AGAUGAUAUGUACGCCGACAUGAUUUUUGUGGUCAGUAUGCGAUAAGCGUACACAUUUCGCAAACAGGAAGUAAUGUAUGCAAAUUAAAUAAAUCGUUAUUUUAUUAUUGGAUAGUUAGCGUCACUGUAUUAUCACUCCAUGAUAGUUAACGUUGAGUAAAAAAAAAAACGACAAUUUUUAUUUACAAUAGUUUAUGAAUAGUACGAAUAUAUUAUCUGUUUUAUUUCAACAUUAAAGUGAGAAUUAUAUCAUUCGGAUAUUUUUCGCGUUGCUAUAGUUUAGAUUCUGAGCGGAACUAGGAAUGACGUAAGUAUUGGUCUUGCAAUUAUAUUUUUUUAGUUAAAUAACUUUCAACUUAUCAGAAACCUUGCUCCGAUUUUUAAGUGUAGCAUCUUGUCUGAAAAGAAAUCUAUUAUGGUACUAAAGAGAGCUUUAUUUUUAAUUUUUCUAAUGGGAUUUCAUAAUAAAUAGGAAAAACCAAGAAAAUUAUGAAAUUUAUUAUUUUUAAUUUUUUUUUUUAUCGUGAUUCAGUUAAAAAUAUUCGUAGGGACUUGAAAUUUGAACAGAACACUUAUAUUUGAACCUAAAUUUCGUAUUCGUUUUUCAAUUGACCAUUAAAUUUAGAAAUUUUAUAGAACUGAAGUAAGUAGGUAAAAUUGAUAUAAAAUUUCCCAACUAAUAAAAUUAGAUAUUGAUAAUAAAAUUAUAUAUUAAACUGUUUUAUAUUUAAAUAUUUUUCAGUUACUAACAAGGGCGUUUUUUUGGUGGGAGCAGGAUGUGCGAUUACACCCUUUACUUUUAAAAUAGUCCCAACUGGCCUGCUUAAAUAAUGUACCAUUUUUUAUAUAGUUAAAAUAAAAUAAUAUUUUUAUAUUAAAAAUAUUGGUAUUUUACUAUCAAUAAAUAAAUAUCGUGAAUAAUGUGUAUUAUAUUUACACAAUUUCAUGGGCGAUGAUUAAAUGCUAAAUGGUCUUAUGGUGCUAAAUAUUGAAAAAUAAGAAGUAAAUAAUUUCGAUUUAGAAAAAAUUGUAGAUGUAUUUGUUGGACUUAAAAAUCGCCAAUACCUAUAAUCUCUUAUACGAAUAUAAAUAAUUUGUUUUUUUUUUUUUUUUACUAGAGCUUUUACUUGUGCGAAAGUUAUACUUAACAAUGUACACAUAUUGUGUGCUUUUUUUUUAUGUAACAUUUCUCAUCUUCAAUAUUUUAUAUUUGUAUGCAUUAAUCAUUGGUUUUUACAGGUACAAAUGACUGAACGUAAAAGUCUGAAUAAAGCGCGCUAUAAGCAAUUUGUCAACAUUUCUGUGAACUUAUCGUAGUUUUAUUGAUUUGAUAAAAUAAAAAAAGGGUCUCAUAUUAUGAAAUAUUGAUUAAUUAGGUAAUCGAUUAUAAUUAUUAUAUAUUUGAUAUCAAAUAUUAAAUUUAUUGCAUUUUUAAAAAAUAGGUUUUCACCUGAUAAUUUUCGAUUCAGAACAGUGUGCAGAUCAACGUUAACAGAUUGUCUCAAAAUUUUCUAUAGUUCAUUAAAUAUUCAUGUACACAAAUUUAAAAGGUGAGACUGUAAAAUAUUAGAUUGGAAAAUAAGGGAAACUGUAGGUAUACAUAUAUACACAC